GGCGAAAAAGGCACACGGGAAUGUCAACGUCUCGUACGCAUGCGCGCAGCGGGGAACAAGUCGUCUUACCUGCAGGAUGAGCUGCAGCGUCUCGCCGAAGAAAGACAAUCCUCGGCGGAUUUUACUGAGAAAAGGUGAUGAUUGCCUGCCGGACUCCCCCUCAAGACGCCUUUUGUUGCCAAUAAGGCGACUAGUUUACACACUCAUUAGCUCGGGAGGGCUGCAUUCAAGAGCAAAGCGCGUUCUCUGCACCUUGUCAACAUAGGAAAGACAUACGGAGGUCACGGGGAAGACCCAGGACACGUUGGGAAGACUAUGUGUCCCGGCUGGCCUGGGAACGCCUCGGGAUCCCCAGGGAAGAGCUGGACGAAGUGGCUGGGGAGAGGGAAGUCUGGGCUUCCCUGCUUAGGCUGCUGCCCCCGCGACCCAACCUCGAAUAAGCGGAAGAAGAUGGAUACAUGUCCCUUGGCAAGUUUCACUGCAAUAAGGUGCUUUUGGUAGCCAUCCACGAUCUUCUGGCAAGCUUGUGGUUGAUUUUUUGACCACUCCUCUUGACAAAAUUGGUGCAGUUCAGCUAAAUUUGUUGGUUUUCUGACAUGGACUUGUUUCUUCAGCAUUGUCCACAGUCCCAAAGUCAGGACUUUGGGAAGGCCAUUCUAAAACCUUAAUUCUAGCCUGAUUUAGCCAUUACUUUACCUCUUUUGACCUGUGUUUGGGGUAAUUGUCCUGUUGGAACACCCAACUGCGCCCAAGACCCAACUUCCGGGCUGAUGAUUUUAGGUUGUCCUGAAGAAUUUGGAGUUAAUUUUCCUUUUUCAUUGUCCCAUUUACUCUCUGUAAAGCACCAGUUCCAUUGGCAGCAUUGCUUCCCUUUACGUUCAGCACUAACAACACUGCGCGCCUUAGGUGAUGAUGAGAAUGUCAGGAAAAAUGUGUCAUUAUAUUAAUAUCUAUGGCGUAGCAGAAAGUGGCUCGGAAUUGUAUACUUUGUAUUGUAAAUUGUACUUGUCAGAGUAGUUUUAUUGCAACAUACUUUUUACAUUUGUGUGAGUGUUUUUGUGAAGAAGAAACUAGAAUAAUUAAAUUUUAUGCAUGUUAUGUUUUGUACAAAAAUUAAGUAAUGGGAAAAACAAUUAAAAAAUAUAAGUUUUUAGUGCAAUCGAACACAUUUAACAUAAAGUUACAUAUGUUCCUGGCACCACCCUGACCAGGAUUUAAACCUUGCACAUGAAAUCAUCAGCCCAGCACUGACACCGUGCACUACAGGACAUGAUAAGAAUUGCAGGUGAAAUUUGCCAUUAUAUUGUACGCAAUGACGUAGCAGGAAGGGGUUUGGAAUAAGUUUGCAGUAAAAUGUUAUAUGACGCGCCAUGUCAUUCACUAAUUGACAUUUUACAUGCACUUUUUCACGCAAAACGAGGCCCCUAAAGAGGGGCGGGGGUAGCCCUCUGAACAGCCCGUGUUUUGCCUACAUGGAGGGGGGGGCCCUAUGUGUUGCAAUUAGAGGUUGGUAGUAAAACACUGUAUUUACUCUGUUACAUUCAUUUAACUUAUUGGAUACAUUUUACUUGUCAGGAGUAGUUGUAAUACAACAUACUGUUGAAUUUUACUUGAGUAUUUUUGCACAACUCUUCAAUGUUUACUAAAGUCAGAAAAAAAAUAUUUAUAUAAUGUUUUGUGUCCGUAGAAAUGUUCACAUUUCAGUCUACAAGAAUUCCACUUCCAACACUUCCAACUUUAAAAAAAAAAUGUUUUAGUUAACGUUAUGCAAACAUUAGUCUAGUUUUAAUGUCAUAAGUGAGUGGAAAAUGUGCAGCUUUUGUGGUACAGCAGAUGCUGUAGCCGUGUAUCCCUUGCUCUCACAUGCACACACACACCUAAACACUCACCGCAUACGGUUGUAGUGCAAGUUAAAGACUAGUUACUCAAUAAUUCAGAAGUUACUCACCAGUUAUGCAGUACUUGAGUACUUUUUUCCCACUUAAUACUUACUCUUACUCAAGGAAUUAUUUGGACGACUACUUUUUAGUCAUAAUAUUCUAAAGUAACGGUAUAUUAUUCCUAAGUAAUGGUACUCUUACUUAUGUACACGUUUUGGCCACUGUACCCACCUCUGGAUG